rnacentral:rRNA from 1 species
UACGGGGGGGGCAAGCGUUGUUCGGAAUUACUGGGCGUAAAGGGCGCGUAGGCGGCCACGACACGUCGCUUGUGAAAUCUCCGGGCUUAACUCGGAACGGUCAAGUGAUACUGUCGGGCUAGAGUGCAGAAGGGGCAACUGGAAUUCUCGGUGUAGCGGUGAAAUGCGUAGAUAUCGAGAGGAACACCUGCGGCGAAGGCGGGUUGCUGGGCUGACACUGACGCUGAGGCGCGAAAGCCAGGGGAGCGAACGGG